GACCUCAGACAUUUCGGGGAUCAUCAUGUCACGAGAUACCAUUGUGCGCUUGUGACAGAUUGAUAACUGAAAGGUCUGGGAGCC
rnacentral:pre_miRNA from 1 species